rnacentral:lncRNA from 1 species
CACCUCCCACCUGUCUCUUCCUUCUUCUCUGGCUAUGUAAGAUGUGCCUGCUUCUCCUUUGCCUUCCUGCCAUUAUUGUAAGUUUGCUGAGGCCUCCUCAGCCGGACUUCCUGUACAGCUUGUUGAACUGUUUAAUUGAAUGCUCCAGUUCUUUUCAUUUCCGAAGUUAUGGUGAGAAGAACUAAGUGGAAAAUGGUGAUAAAUUACCUGAUAUGCAAAAGCGCAUUCUGCUAAAUGGAAGACAUCCUCAAUUCUGUUGGAGGGGCAGUUACUAUUGAAAUGCAUAAAUGUUUGAGACUAAAUAUUUUCAUAAUACUGUUUUCUCUCCACACCAAGUACUUUUCUCCUGUUUAUAUUGGUAGAAUAUCACAGUUUGUUUGGAUUAAAGUGUAACUUAAAUGUGCACUACAUAAAUUUUGAGAAGAGCUCUACCCCAUGAGAUUUUUUUUUUCUUUUCUUUUCUUUUUUUUUUUUUUGAGAUGGAGUCUCACCCUGUCGCCCAGGCUGGAAUGCAGUGGCACAAGCUCGGCUCACUGCAAGCUCCACCUCAUGGUUCACGCCAUUCUUCUGCCUCAGCCUCCCAAGUAGCUGGGACUACAGGCACCCGCCACCAUGCCUGGCUAAUUUUUUUGUAUUUUUAUUAGAGAUGGGGUUUCACUGUGUGUUAGCCAGGAUGGUCUCGAUCUCCUGACCUCGUGAUCCGCCUGCCUUGGCCUCCCAAAGUGCUGGGAUUACAGGUGUGAGCUACCGCACCUGGCCCCCAUGAGAUUCCUAAUAUCAUUUGUGCCAUGACAUUGUGCUACACCCAAAUGUAUAUUUUAUUUUAUCAUUUCAAAAUAAUUCAAUAAAUAUAAUUUUAAAAGCAAACAC